rnacentral:rRNA from 1 species
GACGAACGCUGGCGGCGUGCUUAACACAUGCAAGUCGAACGGAAAGGCCCUGCUUUUGUGGGGUGCUCGAGUGGCGAACGGGUGAGUAACACGUGAGUAACCUGCCCUUGACUUUGGGAUAACUUCAGGAAACUGGGGCUAAUACCGGAUAGGAGCUCCUGCUGCAUGGUGGGGGUUGGAAAGUUUCGGCGGUUGGGGAUGGACUCGCGGCUUAUCAGCUUGUUGGUGGGGUAGUGGCUUACCAAGGCUUUGACGGGUAGCCGGCCUGAGAGGGUGACCGGCCACAUUGGGACUGAGAUACGGCCCAGACUCCUACGGGAGGCAGCAGUGGGGAAUAUUGCACAAUGGGCGGAAGCCUGAUGCGGCAACGCCGCGUGCGGGAUGACGGCCUUCGGGUUGUAAACCGCUUUCGCCUGUGACGAAGCGUGGGUGACGGUAAUGGGUAAAGAAGCACCGGCUAACUACGUG